UGUCGGCACUGUGUGCCAGGAUAUAAAGAGGAGGUGAGGCACGGGUACAAUGCUCUGCAGGACUGACAGCUCUGGCCACAGUGAGGUGCAAUGCUCUGUAGGACUGAGAUCUCUGGAGACGGUGAGGUGCAAUGCUCUGCAGGACUGGGGAAAUCACACAGAAGGUAGACGGCUUACCAGCACCAAUGAAGCAUUCUUCCAAACCAGUGACUGGUAGAGGACACCGGCCUUACAUACAGGACACCGGCCUUACAUACAGGACUCUCACAGAUAAAGUCUUCUUUGUAAGAUGAUGAUGAUCCUUUCUACCAGUGACCCACCAAGGAUGGAGAAGGACAGAUACCACGUGGCUACAAGGAUAAUAGACCUCGCCCUAGAGAUCAUCUCCUUGAUAACUGGAGAGGGUUACACAGUAGUGAAGAAGUCGUCUGCUAAGUGUGUGACACAUCGUGCGUCAAGAGGACGGAAAAAGACCCAGAGACCAGUCACCGAGCCUCCACCUCAUUCACUGAUACAUAAGCAGAAGAUCCUAGAACUUACCAACAGGAUCACUGACCUGCUGAGCGGAGAGGUUCCUGUAAGGUGUCAGGAUGUCGUUGUCUAUUUUUCCAUGGAGGAGUGGGAGUAUUUAGAAGGACACAAGGAUCUGUACAAGGACCUCAUAAUGGAGAAUCACGAGCCCCUCACAUCACCAGAUGGAUCCAGUCAGAGAAAUCCACCAGAGAGAUGUCCCAGUCCUCUGUAUUCCCAGGACUGUCCAGAGGAGAAGCAGAAUGUCCCACUGGUUAAUCAGGACGUCAUGAUGGAGAAUCACCAGCUCCUUACGUCGCCAGCAAGGUGACCUCAGUUUGGAUGGGAACCUUCUCUACUCAAUACCUAUCUCCAUGCUGUACGGGCAUCGAAAUUCAAGGAUAGCAGAACCCUCUACAAUUGGUGACGAACUUACAAGUGGCCCCGAUGGACAUCGGCAGUUAUCUGCCUGUUAUGAAGUACAAGAUAAUCAGCCACAAAUUAGCAAGACGAGAUUGGAUGAAAAUUUAGCAAGUUCUGAAAGUGGAAAACAUUUUAAAGAGAAAUCUCAUCUUUCCAUGCAUGAGAGAAUUCACAAAGAAGAGAACCCAUUUUCUAUAAAGCACAAUCUUGAGGCACAAAAAACUCACCCAGGGGAGAAGCCAUUUUCAUGUCCUGAAUGUAAGAAAUGUUUUGCCUAUAACUCACAUCUUAUGUGUCAUCUUAUCAGUCACACACGGGAGAAGCCUUUUCUGUGUCCAGAAUGCGGAAAAUAUUUUAGAAGUCAAGCCAAUCUUGUUGUACAUCAGAGAAGUCACACAGGAGAGAAGCCGUAUUCAUGCUCAGAAUGUGGAAGAUGUUUUGCCGAUAGAUCAGCUCUUGCUUAUCAUGUGAAAACUCACAGAGGGGAGAAGCCAUUUUCAUGUCCAGAGUGUGGAAAGUGUUUUUAUCAGGAAUCAAAUCUUGUGCAACAUCUAAGAAGUCACACAGGAGAGAAGCCAUUUUCAUGUUCUGAAUGUGGGAAAUUUUUUAACUGUAGAACGAGUGUUGCAAUACAUCAGAGAACUCACACAGGUGAGAAGCCAUUCUCAUGUCCUGAAUGUGGAAAGUGUUUUAGUCAGAAAUCAAAUCUUAAGGAACAUCUGAGAAUUCACACAGGGGAGAAGCCAUUUUCAUGUUCAGAAUGUGGGAAGUGUUUUAACUAUAAAUCAUGUCUUGUGAUACAUCAGAGAAGUCACACAGGAGAGACGCCGUUUUCAUGUUCAGAAUGUGGGAAAUAUUUUAAGUAUAGGUCACAUCUUGCUAAACAUCAGAGAACUCACACAGGGGAGAAAGCUAUUGUCAUGCCCUGAAUGUUGGAAACAUUUUAGUCAAAAAUCGGGUAUUGUUGAAAGAAUUAACACAGGAUAGAAGCCAUAUUCAUGUUCAGAAUGUGGAAAUGUUUUAUUAGUAAACCAGAUCUUGUUAAACAUCCAAGAAGUCACACAGGUGAGAAGCUAUUCUAAUGAUCAAAUUGUAGGAAUGUGGCAGGUAAGGAGCUCAAUUAUAGGACUUGCUGCCUAAGGAUGUCGUACUAUGUAAAUCUUUAGAGCGGUUGGCCCAUCUCCUACACUGGGGGCAUAUCGCUAGGAUAUGUCCCCAACGUCUGAUAGGUGCGGGUCACACCGCUGGGACCCGCACCUAUCUCUAAAAUGGAGCCUGCAAAGAAAGGGAGAUGUGCAUCUGCCUUCCAUUAAGUUCUUUGGGACUGGAAAAAAUAACCAAGCGGUGUAAUCGGCUGUUUUUGAAAGUCUCAUCGAAAUUAAAGGGAAGCGCUUCACACAAGUGCGCCCACCGCUCCAUUCACUUCUAUGGAGCUAAUGUAAAUGAGUGGACUCCAGCUGAAGCUGCUCAAUACAGAUUUUAGCAAAAUGGCUGGGUCAUUUCAAGUAAGUGACCCAGUAUUUUUUCUGGGGGUCUCUGUGACCAGUGUUUGCUUUCAUCGAACUAGUGACAAACUCUCUUUAAAAAUGGGGUGUGGACUUCCAUUGUAAGACUUGC